rnacentral:lncRNA from 1 species
GUUUUGUAAGUAUAAGCUUGAGAUAAAUUAGAAUAUGGAAAGAUUAAUGCCUUUUCUUUAAUAACAGGGUUUGAUCCAAGACCAGAGAAAUGAUGCGAGUACCCAAGCGAAGCCCAGGAAGGAUUGUUGUCCACUAUUAAUAGCCUGGUGGAUCAAGGAGUGCCAAUGCAAUGACCCACUGUGUGUAAUUCCCCUGUGUGGCUGGUAUUAAAGGGAGAUAAAAAGAUGCAUCUGACUGUGGAUUUCAGAGCAUUAAAUGCUGUAACUCCGCAAACAUCACCUCUUCUUGUUGAAAUGCCAGAAAUUAUGGCUGUAAUAGUACAAGGAGAUAAGUGGUUUUCAGUCAUAGAUCUAGCAAAUGCAUUCUUCUUCAGCCCUCUGGAAGAGAAGUGUUGCUUUCAACAUCCUCAAAGGCAUCUAAUUGUUCAGGACAUACUGAGUAUCUGCACUUACAGAAAUCAAGCCUCAAGUGGAACUCCCCUGAAAGCAAGGCACCAGGAAGCCAAGAUUAGUUUUCAGAAAUUUCAAGGUGAGAUCAGUAUCUGGAACCAUGAUGCAAUUUAUGCUGUUAUCAUUUCAUGA